CUUUAAUCGGUUUAAAGGGUACCUAGACGGAAAAUCAAGCUUAAUUAAACUAAGGACUAGUUUUCUAGAGUUUGACAUGAGAAGGUACGAACUAUCAGAGGAGAGAUAAAAUUUGUUGAUACUGGUGGGACGGACAACGGCGAAGGCAAUCUUCUACUAAAAACUGACGUUGAGGGACGAAGCCUUGGGGAGCGAGAAGGAUUAGAUACCCUAGUAGUCCUUGGAGAAAAUUAUGAGUGCCAUAGACUAAAGUGAAAAAGAAGUUCUUUUAAAAGAACUUUGUAUCUGAGCCUUAAUUGGAUACAAAGGUCUGGAGUAGCAGUUUAUAAAUGAAAGUGUAAGCAUUCCACCUCAUGACUAAAGCGGCAACGCCCAAAUUGAAAUCAUUAGACCGUUUCUGAAACCAGUAGUGAAGUAUGUUAUUUAAUUCGAUAACCCGCGAAUAACCUUACCACGUUUUGAAUUUAUUAAACAAGUGUUGCACGGCUGUCUUCAGUUAAUGUCGUGAGAUUUUGGUUUGUUCCAUUAAUUAACGAAAACCCUUGUUUCAUUUUUAUAUGAAAUAGUUCACCG
rnacentral:rRNA from 1 species